UUUUCUAGUACUUAAUUUAGUGCAAUGUCAUGAUUUUUUUCACUUCUAGGUAAAACCAAAUAGUAACCAAGUUAAUCUUGCCUCCUGCUGUGUGAUGCCACCCGACUUGACUGCAUUUGCUAAACAAUUUGACAUACAGCUAUUGACUCAUAAUGAUCCAAAAGAACUGCUUUCUGAAGCCAGUUUCCAAGAAGCUCUUCAGGAAAGCAUCCCUGACAUUCAAGCACAUGAGUGGGUGCCCCUGUGGCUACUGCGGUAUUCGGUCAUUGUUAAAAGUAGAGGAAUUAUCAAAUCAAAAGGCUACAUUUUACAAGCUAAAAGAAGGGGUUCUUAACUACGACUUAGGAUCAUAACCUACUGACUUGUAUUUUCCUUGAAUAGAAGAUAAAAUUGAGAUGUAUAAAAAUUAGUUACUGCCUGUAAAUGGUGUCAUGGAGGCAGAUAUUCUUCAGUUAUAUUUGACAAUAUGUUAUCUGUCAAGAUUUGAAUACUUCUCUUGCCUCCAUAUCAGUUCACUCACAUGAACUCCACUGUAUUGUUUUCAUUAAACUAUUGUUUUCUAAUUGAAAUUGUCUAUAAAGAAAAUACUUACAAUAUAUUUUUCCUUUAUUUUUAUGACUAAUAGAAAUCAAGAAAAAUUGUUGUUAGAUAUAUUUUGGGCCUAGGUAUCAGGGUAAUGUAUAUACAUAUUUUUUAUUUCCAAAAAUUAAUUAAUGGCUUCUUAUUCUAUAGUAUAAGCAAUUUAAUUACAAUUGUUAAAACUGAAAUACUGGAAGAUAUUUUUUCUGUAAUUGAUAAGAUGAUUAUAUCCCAGAGUAACUAGAGUAGCUGGGAUCUACUAGUAGUAUAAGUAAAAUUCGUUUCUUCAAUACAUGAA